AACGAACGCUGGCGGCAGGCCCAACACAUGCAAGUCGAACGCCCCGCAAGGGGAGUGGCGCACGGGUGAGUAACGCGUGGGAAUAUGCCCUUCGGUUCGGAAUAACACAGGGAAACUUGUGCUAAUACCGGAUACGAUCUACGGAUGAAAGAUUUAUCGCCGAGGGAGUAGCCCGCGUAGGAUUAGCUAGUUGGUGAGGUAAUGGCUCACCAAGGCGACGAUCCUUAGCUGGUCUGAGAGGAUGAUCAGCCACACUGGGACUGAGACACGGCCCAGACUCCUACGGGAGGCAGCAGUGGGGAAUAUUGGUCAAUGGGCGAAAGCCUGAUCCAGCCAUGCCGCGUGAGUGAUGAAGGCCUUAGGGUUGUAAGGCUCUUUCGCCAGGGAAGAUAAUGACGGUACCUGGAAAAGAAGCCUCGGCUAACUCCGUGCCAGCCGCCGCAGUAA
rnacentral:rRNA from 1 species